CUCUGGAGAGCGGCCGGCAGACGGCCCACCGAAGGGGGCGAUCGCCCGGGUCCACAAGGACCGCGGGGCGCGCAAACUCUCAGGUUUCAGGACAGAG
rnacentral:ncRNA from 1 species